CUCUGUCUCACAAAGCUCACACUCUAGCUAGGAGGUGGUCAUAACUGAAGUCAACAAAGAAAGACAGAGAACAAUGACUAAAUGCUGUGGUCUGAAUUUUUGUGUCCCCCCAAAAUUCAUAUGUUGAAAUUCUCACCUGCAAGGUGAUGUGUAUUAGUCCGUUUUCACACUGCUGAUAAAGACAUACUUGAGACUGGGCAACUUACAAAAGAAAGAGGUUUAAUGGACUCACAGUUCCACAUGGCUGGGGAGGCCUCAUAAUCACGGUGGAAGGUGAAAGACACUUCUCACAUGGCAGUGGACAAGAGAAGAGAACUUGUGCGGGAAACUCCCCUUUAUAAAACCAUCAGAUCUCGUGAGACUUAUUCACUAUCACGAGAACAGCACUAGAAAGACCCACCCCCAUGAUUCAAUUACCUCCUACCUGGUCCCUCCCAUGACACAUGGGAAUUGUGGGGGCUAUAAUUCAGGAAGAGAUUUGGGUGGGGACACAGCAAAAACCAUAUGGUCAUGGUAUUAGAAGGUGGGGCUUUAGGAGGUGAUUAGGUCAUGAAUGUGGAGCCUUCUUGAAUGGGAUUAGCACCCUUAUAAAAGGGACCCAGAGAACUCCCUCACCCCUUCUAUCAUGUGACAAUGAAGUGAGAAGGCACCACCUAUGAACCAGGAAGUGGGUCUUCACCAGACGUUAGAUUAGCCAGUACAUUUACCUUGGACUUCCCAGCCUGCAGAACAGUGAGAAAUACAUCUCUGUUGUUUACAAGCUGCCCCCUCUAUGUGUUUUGUUAUAGCAGCAUAUAUGGACUUAGACUAGCCUUGUUAUAAUGAGACAAUGGUGAGAACCUCUUUUGGAGAGGAAGGUGUGGAAGGCCUGUCUGAGGAGACGACAUUUAAGCAGAGAUCUGGAAGAUACACAGUGAGAAUUCCAGGGAAAGAGAGGAGGGAAUCAUUUGUGCAAAGGACCUGAGGCAAGAGGAAAGACCUGAGGCAGUUCCAGGAAGUGCCAGGAGGCCGAUGGUGCUAGAAGGAAGAGGAGCAUGGUGAGAGUGAGGUCAGAGAUGAGCCAGUAGGGCAGGCAUGUGGCCACCAAAGAAUGUGAACUCAUUCUAAACUCGUUGGGACGUGAACUGGUGACGUGCCUGGAGCUAAGAUGGCUCUGGCCCUGUGUGGAGAAUGGGUUGAAGGAACACAGACGCAGCAGCAGAACCGGUCCUCAUCCUUGAACCAGGUGAGAACUUCUAGCUUACUGGGUAAAGUCCAAUUAACGUGGUGCAGAAUUCCAUCCAUGGCAGGGCUCCUGCUGUCUCCAGCCUCAUCUCCAGGCACACCCUGCACCCUUGAGAAGACAAUGCUUCCGUGUCCACCAGUUCAUUCCUUCCAGACACAUCCCAGUGGUGUCUAGCUCAGGUCUCAGCUCCUGGAAAGGGACAAGGACGCCCCAGAGUCUGCUUUUUUGACACUUACCUUCUGGUCCCCCUGAAAAAUCAUGCUGCAUCACGCCUGCACAUUGUCCUUUCUGCGGAAAUGUCCUGUCUCCCCAUCUCUAUCUGCCAAAGACCCACGCAUAAUGCAAACAAUUCAGGUUUCACCCUUUGCAGUGAACUUUGUACAGCUCUCCCAGGUUGUACAACUUCAAUCGUCCGGCAGGCCCGUGAGCACCUUCGGUGUGACAGUCUGUUCAGCACUGGGGCUAUAAAGAUAAACAAGACAAAGUCCAUGUGCUCAAAGAGCUCUCCGUCUGUGAUCCCAGAGAGACAUCUGGACAGAGACGUCAAAAUACAAAACAAUAAAUUCUGGACAGAGCAGUGUUUAGCAUGAAUCGUGAUCUGGAGGACAAAGACACAGUCCUUGCUGUCACGGAGCUCACCAUUGAGGGAUGCCCACAGGCAGCUGAAAUACAGCGGAAGUGAUAAAUCUUUAACAGAGGGUGUUUUACUCGGGGCACCCAGAAAAAAAUGAAAUUUUAACUGCAGAUUCAGGAAGUUAUCCAUGAAAAGGCGGCAGUUGAUUCCAAACUCCAACAAUGCGCUGUCAAGGCUCAUGGGCUGGCUGAGACCGUCACUUCAGGCAGAGGAUGUAGCGUUCUGAGGGGAAGAAAAAGUUUUAAAAAGAAACUUCCAGAGACACUGUCUUGAUGCAAGGAGUAAACAUAAAGUACAAAUCUGGAACACAGCGUCAGACUUAUUAGGAAAGUUACUCGGAUCAGGGCCUCUGAAAUCACCCAGACCCGAGCUCCGUAACUGCUCUGGUAUAGAGCUGGGCUCUGUGCUAUGGAGACAGUACUGACAUUUCAUCUUCCCGAGGCACGUCCCCUGGCUCCGUGAUGUGGCCGUACAACAAGCCUGCCCUUUGUUACGGUGUGUGCACACAUGUAAGUGCUCUCGACAAAUCUGUGUUCCUGCCUCUCCUCCAGUGCUUCUCAGGCAACGACGUUACCCUUGGCCUCAAGGAAAAAAAACAGACACCGUUGGUUGGAGAUUACUGAGUAAACCUACAACGUCCUCAUGCUUAAGGCCCCGUCUGUGAUUCCACCAUGAAGGUCACAUAUCCUCUCUCCUAAAAAGACCUCAUGUCUCCAUUUAAGUAUUUGUUUGGGAAAAUGCUGUAUUGUAUUGAAAUUAUUGUAUAAAGAUAGGGCCUUGGUACAAAAUCUAGGAAUGUGAGGUUUAAACACAGUUGGAUAAAUUUUUAAAAAUCACAUUGCAAAUUUUAAUUAAGGCGAGGGAGCUUAAUUUAAACAAAUAAAUGAUUAGUGUUGACUACCAGAGUAUAAACAAGACUGUAGUUUUAAAAUGUAAUCAGCGUUCUCCCCAUUUUCAGACAUUAUCCUGGUCUGAAUUCCUCACCCUGUCCUCUCUUUGCAACACGAGGCACAGUGAGCUGUGGUCUGGACUGUUUUUGCAGCCCCUCUUUGGCGACAACAGGGUAGAACCCACAGCCAUCAAAUCAGCCUCUAGGUUGGCCCAAAACAUCACAGUGGCCUGGACAUGAUGGAGUAUUUCCAGGCACAUAGAAACUUGGCCUUUAUUCUUCCGGGUUGUAAAUCUGGCACCUCUCAGGAUCAGUAAAUAAGCUUUUUUAAAAGCCCAAACAAACCAUAAGGAAAUCCUGCAUUCUGAAACAAAAGGUAUGAAAGCUAAGUCAAGACCCACACUGCCAUUGUGUCACUUGCCAGGAUGUGAGCUGCUGCCUUGGGAGAAAGAUAACAUGAAAGAGGCUAUAAUUGCAGGGCUGAGACUCCAGGUCCCAUGAAAACAGGAUAAAAAAUAGCAAGCAAGAAGUGUUCCCUGAGCUUUCAGCUGGGCUAGGGUGGGGAAAAAAAUCAAAAGAGCAACACUCUCCUGAAGUUGUUCAAGAAAUGGAGACACAGGGGGAGGAGAAUGAGAAAGAACACCAAGGCCAAGUUAACGUGUUUAGGAAAAAUAUGGGGGCAGGAGAGAAAAAAAAAAAAGGCGGAAUGAUUUAAUGCCAGCCAAAGUAACUAAGGGGAAGAAGGUGUGUUUUUAUAAACAUGUUUGCUUUUGUGUGUGUGUGUGUGUGUGUGUGUGUGUGUGUGUGUGCCGGGGGAAAAGUGUGGAAAAAGAGAAACUAGGUCCAUUAAUGAAGGAGUAGGGUGUUGCAAGGGAAAUGACUAAAUUAGCUGAGCUUUUAAACUGCUUUUAAAAAAUUAGCUUAAAUGAGAAAAAUAAAGAUAAGAGGUAAGAAUGAUUGGGAGGAUGCAGUCAAUAAACUAUUGAUAAGGAAGGGUUAAAGGAGUAUUUAGAGAAAUUGAAGAUAUGCAAAUGAGAGGUCAAAAUAACAGUAGCCCAGUGUAGUUAGUGGAACUAGCUGAAGAAUUUGGAACACCACGGCGGGACUUCAUAACCACUCAGUCUACAGGGAGUACUAAGAACACAUUCUAACAUUGUACAGCACCUUAUACUAACAUUGUGCAUGAUAAAUGCAUUCAUUGUUCUCACAUUCUUACAUUCAUCUGAGUCUGGUCUUUACCUCCACUAUCAGCAGCAAUGUGAUAGGACUGACCAAAGCGAAAGAUGUUUAAAACUCUUUUUGGUAUGAAACAGAAGCAAAAUCACUUCUCUCGGUAAUAAAGAAGGACAUUGAGGCAUUGAGUAGUCAAAGGAAUUGCUGAAGAUGAAACACCAAGUCAGUGACUAAGUUCUGACCCAUUUUUAAGAAUUCAGACAUAUUCCCCCAAAAAGAAAGAAUGUAUUUAACGCAGGUUUUCAGAUAGGGAGUCCCACUAGCGCUAGGAACCAUUUCAGAGGUAGACCUUGCCUGCAUUCCUAACGUGACUAUUGCUGUAGUUAAUUUUCCCCAUUUGCCUACUCCAAGUUACACUUAGCCAAUGGCACAGCUUAAAAUCGGAACACCAAACCACUCUUUCAACCCUUACCCCGAGCAAAUGUCAGAAGGCCUCCAGCUAUUCUUUGUGAAUUGCAAAAUGAACCAGUGUCUGCCCCUUUACCCUUCCAGAGCCGUGGAGUCUAGGUCUAUGCCCAAGAGAGAUGCAUGAAAUGUUUUACUGGUUUCUGCAAAUAAGCCAGACCAAGGGAGAAACAGACCUUCAGCAAGUAGUAACCAAAUGCAAGUUUUGAGAAUGUGGAGGGAGAGGAGGUAAGGUUAAUGAACACCCCUAUACAUCUUUUCAGUGUCUCUUGCUGAAUUACCCAGCCCUGAGCUAACACCUUGCUGAAUCACCCAGUCCUGAUGCAGGUUUAUGCUGUGUCCUGAAUUGGUCUCUGGUGUCCCUUUCAGCUUCUGCCCCUGCAAACUGGGCAGUGCAUCCAAGGUCUCCUGCUAACAUCUGUCACUCAUCGGAGCCACCUGAUCUGAAGCGUUGUCAGGGUCAGUAUUUUUGUUCUGCCUGCUGUUUUGCUAAUGGAUCAAUGGCAGUCAGUAAAGAACAAACCGUGCCAGAAAAGAAUGUCCUCUUCUUCUCAGCUGACUCAGCUCGGGACAGGAAGACAGGGGGCAUCUGGCAUUUGGGGAAGCCCUUGAUUGUCCCUUAGGAAAUAACUGAAAAUGGAUUUGUGUUGGCCUGGUUCUAAGAAGGUCACCCAGGUUGAAUUUGAAAAGCAGAGGCACUGUGUCCACAAAAGAAAGUGAUAAGCAGCAAGCCAUUUCUCAAAGCUAAUGCCCGAGUGUGUACCACCGGGAUCCAUUUUAUAUCUCUCUACAGAUUGGUGUGUUUUUCAUGACAACCAUCCCCAUAGCAACCAGGUGUCCAGGCACUAAAUUGAUCUCAAGGAUAUGAAAUCUCAGCCUGGUGAGGGAAGCCCACUCUGACUGCAGUUUCCUUGGAGUCGUUUCACAUCGAGGGCUGGUGUGCAGGUCAUGGGGAAUGGGGCUUCUUCCUGAGGGCUCAGCUGGACACAAGGGACAGCCCUGGUGAGAGGGGAGCCUUUCCUUUUUCAUGUUUACUAAUAAUCCAGAAGAAAGGGUAAGAAACUGGUAAAUCAAAUUCAAAUGAAACUAAAUGGGAAGAUGUUGCAAACGCCAGUUGGAUGGAGGAAAUUAUGUGGACAGCCACGGAAGAAAUGACCACGUAAGACCUGCCCUGGAAAGGCCACAGUUGGAACCUCUGGGAGCCAAUAUUCCAAAGCAAGAAGCUAGAAGAGAUUUACCAAGCAGAAUUAUUUGAGGAGAUUGGGGCGAGGGAGAGAUGAUAAUUAAGCUGAAAAAAAGGGACAUUACAGGGUGCGCAGAGCUGAGGGCCGUGCAGGGAAGGGGCAGAGCAGUUCUAGCUGGACGAAAGCUUAGGUCUUGGUCAGGGAAAUGAGGUGCUCCCAUGGAUUGUCCAGGUGAGCCCAGAGAGCGCACCCAGGGAAGAAUGUUGAGGGCAUGGGGGGUCAUAGGAAGGAGUGAGGGAGAGCCCACACAACAGUAUCCUCUUAAGGCAGCUCAUGCUCGCCCAGAGGCAGCUACCUGCCAUCAGGCUGUCCCUAAGGUCAGCCUUGCUAAUGCUGAGCCCCUGCCUUCCACAGUUACCCUGUCCUGGGGCUUUGGUGAUGGUCCUCCUCACCUCAACAGUGAUGGACAAGGGCUCCUUUUGCUUUGAAGUGAUGCCCACGUGCUUACUGCACAAGGAGGGCAGGGAAGAGCCAGGAAGGGAGGAACCGCCACGCCAGCGGGGACAACGUGACGACACGGAACAAAGGGACAUGCCGUUGGAAUCCUAGGAAGAAGUUUCUUAAGUGACAUCUAAAUAGGCUGCAAAUGGCCUUUUCGAGGGAACUCCCAUCCCUGUGAUAAUCUAAACCAGAAUCGGAUGAGAUGGGGUGGACCGCAUCUCGGGAGGAGCACAUGGGUGUGAGGGAGGAGGGACGUGGCAACCUCAUGCUCCCUUCUCUCUGUAAUCACUCUGUCAACCCACGAUUCUGGGAGGGGAGUAUGAAAUGUGUGGUUUGUCUAUUGCAUGAAGAUAUUUGGAUCCCCCAAAUCUAGGUGUGUCUGGAAGAAAGCUGCCCUCUCCCAGAGGAAAGCUGGGGGUUAAAUCCAUAACUGUCAGUGUGUCUGGCAACAAAAUAAAAGGAAACCACAUUCUCCAUGAAUGAAGGGAGAAGCAGGAAGGAGGUAGUUUUUUCUUUUUUAAAAACAUGAAUAAGAUCCUCCAAUAUGUUUGAGAUUAUUGAGCAAAUUCUUUGAAAAGGGCCCUGGGUCACUAACCAACAGAUUGUGGAUGUAGAAACCACAUUCUUCCAACUUCCCUUCCCAUCCUGACCCCAGAGAUAGCAGGUUGGGUAUGCUGGGGGUCUUUGUUUAGUUAACCAUUAACAAUUCAUAAAAGUGCAGAUCCCUGCACGAUAAGUCCAGUCCUUGGAAUGUUAUUAGAAAAUCCUAUUUCUAGUCUGUUAUGAAACAGAGGUUUUGAUGUGCUGCCAGGUUUAUGGGGAACUCUGGAAACAACACUUGCUUCUCUGAGAAGCUGAGGCUGGGUGGGUGUUACAUAAAGCUUUCCUAGCAACUUAGCUUUAUCACAGAAUGGGAGGCUGCAGUGGAAAAUAUCAGACGAGUUAAUGCAAAACCUGAGCCAACCCACUAUCCCCAUUUGCUCUAAGGCCAGCCAGCAAAUCUGUGGGAGUGAUUUUAACCCACGGGGGAGCGGCAGGCCUAGGGCUCCGGUUGACUGCAGAUUCAGCCCAAGAAUGCUCGGGCAGCUCAGAGCUGAAAGGCACCUUCAGACAGACCUCACGGAAGGCAAAACAGCUCUUCUUGACUCUGAACCAAUUGCUGAUUGAAAUUCACACAAACACACCUUCCUUUUCCUUCUUUGGGUCAUUCCCAGUUUCUCCGGGCACUGCAGGAACAAAGGGGAGUAAGGUCACUUCGUCGAAUCCCUGCCAAGGGAAAUGCGUCUAAUGCAUGACGGUGUCUCUGAAGUCAAUGGAUAAGAAUCUCAUUUCUAAACUCUUGGAUCCAAAAGUAUGCCUCUUAGGAUGGAAUCCUUCUGUGGUGUUGGUUGACAGCUUUUUGGGUUUUCUGAAAAGCAUGUGUCCAGUCCAUUGUUUUUAAUCUCCCAGGGCUGGCGUGGGGGUGGAAGGAGCUGGAGGAAGAAACCAUGCAAAAAUCCAUUUGGAAGCUGCAAAUCAAAGCUAAUAGCCUCUCCUGAUCUGCUCACACACGGUGCCCAACCGGUGUUGUAGAGAGGAAGAGGAAAAGAUUCCCCAGACAUGAGGACAAGUGUAAGGCGAAGGGCUGGAAAGGGGAGGGGAGCUCGUGUCAAGAGGGAGCUGGAACUCAAGUGGGGAGAGGAAAGGCAGUGGGAGAGAAGAGAGCUCCUUCGUGGGCGGCCUCUGCGACAUCUGCCCCAGGGGCCUAACGCCUCCCUCUGUGAUGUCUCUGCACCCAGGCUCUGUUGCUGCUUCCUCAACCAUUAUUCUCAUUUGGGAAGGGAAAGAGUGGUUUUAUAAAACCGGUGUCCACGUGAAGGCAGCCAUCCAGUUGGUGGAGAAAUUUUCCCCACAUAAAUUAGAUUACUCCAAGUCUAGAUGGUUCCUAGCCCCUAGUCCUUCUCGCUGAAGACGGUACAAGGAGGGUGGCAAGGCAGAGGUCUGGAGGGAGAAGAGUAAAAAGCUCCUUGUUUGCGUUAAAACAAACAAACCCCAAGAUAUGCCAGUUGUUUCAGAAGGUGAAUUCCUACUUCAGGUAGUCCUUAAGAGUCACCAGAAAUCCAGGAGCGAAACUGCACUGAGAUUCCAUUAACUGUGAAAAAAAAUAACAAAAUAAACGGGCCACACAAAAAGAAGAAAACCGGCCUGCCCAACGAGGGCUGCGGAGUGCAGCCAGAGUCCCUUGUACCAGUAGAUCAUAUUGUGUCCAUUUAAUAAUAAUAAGAAGGGGCACCCUCCGCGGAGGCUUCACCCAAGGAGUCCUGUCCCACCCGCAGGCUCGGGCGCCCGCCUGCAGACCUCGGACGCCGGCCAGCGUCUUGUCGUGCAAGGCCGUCCACAGCCAGCAUGGCCUUAAUGAGCCCAUUUCAAUUGAAAUGAGAUCAAUACUACUCAUUUUUCU
rnacentral:lncRNA from 10 species